CGUACGCGCUAUAAAAGGCACGCCGCGCGUGCGCGCGUCCUUUCCGGGCGGUGGCGGCGUCUCCGGGUGGUGCGCGCGGCCUGGUUCCCGGAGCCCAGGGCGCCCGCCUCCCCGCCGGGGCCUCGCCAGCCGUGACCCGAGCUGCGGCCGUGCGCCCCUGGUGCCGGGCCGGCCGCGGGAGGGACGGCGGGUCCCGGGCCAGGCGGCGGGCGGGUCCGGACCUUGCUGAGCGCCCGCCGCCCUCCCUCGCGGGUUGAGACCCGGAGGAAGUGGCCUCCCGCCUCUGGCCACGCGUUGUUUUUGCUUUAAAAAGCGGGGAGUUUGCUAGAGACCGAGCACCUGGGAGGGCGUCCUGGGGUCUCAGCUCUUGGGUGGCCUCGGAUGGUGAGGAUGGUGAGGCGGUCCGGCCUUUGACAGCAGGAGGUAGGAGUGGGUCGCUGACAAGCAGGGAUGAGCAGAAGAGGAAGGAAGGGGACUGCCAGCCUGUGAACGUGGGCCAGAAUAACACCGUCACCGUCCAGACCGAGGUGGAGAGGAGACGCUGGCCCCAGCAGGUGGAGAGCCCAGCCAGGCGAGAUCCAGGCCGUCCGCUCAGGGCGAGACACUCCCUGAUACAAAGCCGAGAAGUAGCAAGGUAUUUUGCAUUGCUUUCUGAAACGCUUGUGCAGAGUGUUGGCCUGUUGGAAAGCAGUCCUGUGGCAUGGGUCUGCGGGGCGAGGCGGGGAGUGUUGAACUGUUCAUUGGGCCCCCUCUGACUCCAAAAAACCCAAGAAAAGUAGACGCGAUUGAGAGCACAGACAAGGGGUCAAGAUACGUCGGGGGGCCAGGGCCUCCACUUUUGAUGCAGCGAUUGUUGGCAGAGCAGCCUCGCCUCUGCUUUCAGAGGAGCCCCCGCUAGGAGGCCGCCCCGCGCGGGUGUCUCGGGUCCUCAUUCUUCCUCCCCGGCCGCUGCGUCCCGCGGGGAGCAGAGGUUUCGAACUGCCCAGAGUCGGUGAUUCUAAACUGCUGCUUGUGCCGCGUGUGGACUAUUUCCCCUGCACACAAGGGAGGAAAAUGCAGACAGGAGAGGUGAUUUCAACGUAAGGUGGAACGGGUGUUGAGAACUAACGCUGAAGACACGGGAGGACGGCUGGAGUUGGGAACAGGUUUAGGCAAACGGUGGUGAAGUAAGCUGAAGGAUUGAGUGCUUUUAUUUUUCAAUAAAACUGUUUCUUUGUUGGCA
rnacentral:lncRNA from 1 species